rfam:Stegodyphus mimosarum contig69784, whole genome shotgun sequence.
GCCUUCGUGGUGUAGUGGUCUGCAUGCUCGAAGCUUAACCGAGAGGUCCGUGGUUCGAUUCCCGGCGAAGGCG